rnacentral:rRNA from 1 species
AUUGAACGCUGGCGGCAGGCCUAACACAUGCAAGUCGAGCGGGGUUUUCGGACCUAGCGGCGGACGGGUGAGUAAUGCGUAGGAAGCUACCCGAUAGAGGGGGAUACCAGUUGGAAACGACUGUUAAUACCGCAUAAUGUCUACGGACCAAAGUGUGGGACCUUCGGGCCACAUGCUAUCGGAUGCGCCUACGUGGGAUUAGCUAGUUGGUGAGGUAAUGGCUCACCAAGGCGACGAUCCCUAGCUGGUUUGAGAGGAUGAUCAGCCACACUGGAACUGAGACACGGUCCAGACUCCUACGGGAGGCAGCAGUGGGGAAUAUUGGACAAUGGGCGCAAGCCUGAUCCAGCCAUGCUGCGUGUGUGAAGAAGGCCUUCGGGUUGUAAAGCACUUUCAGUAGGGAGGAAGCGUUGUGUGUUAAUAGUACACAGCGUUGACGUUACCUACAGAAGAAGCACCGGCUAACUCUGUGCCAGCAGCCGCAGUAAUAC